UUGAUUUCAUGAGAAAUGUAUUUCGCCCUGGGAUUGAUGUUGUAAAUUCUUCUUCCUCCAUCUUUCUCCAUGUUUAGAAGAGCAGUGAUGGACUUCUCAGUUAUCACCAUCUUUACUCCCAAAACAUAGGAAACGAUGAAGUGAUCGUCAGCAUCAGCAAAUCUCCAGAAUUCUUUAAUGAGAUUUGGGUAAACUGGACCGUAGAGGCGUUGAAAGUAG
rnacentral:lncRNA from 1 species